UCGUAUAACAGAGGUGUAAGGGCUGUCGCUGACCUUUAAAGGUUGUGCACGCCUAAGCCCUCUCACAAUCCAUCUCACCCCUUUUGUGCAUCACCGCGUGGGUCCUCCCUUUGCCGGGAGGGCCUGCGUUUUUAUACCAACCUUAUGAAAUUUGACUGAACAACAAACAAAUGAUUUUAAUAAUCUGUUUAAAA
rnacentral:misc_RNA from 1 species